AUAGUUAAGAAGAUAUGCCAGAUGGGAAUAUUUUAGCAGCCACAAGAACAGUUGCUGAAGUUCUGUUCUCAGGCACUGCAGUGUUGCUCCCACAGGGGAGCAUGGAGCUGGCCCACGCAUCCCGCGAGAACACGGGAGGGAGUCAUUCCAUGUCUGCCCACAGCUCACAGGUCAUGGUAUUUUUAUGCUGCACAUAAAAACACAUGAAGGGAGAUUGCAAGAUCCCUGCUGGAGAAGAAGGGCCACGUGCAAAUUGCAAGCACCUGAAUUAACAUGAUGUAGAGGAAGGCUGAUGUCUGUCACUUCCAUGAAUGUGUCCUCUGAACAAAGAAGGCAAAGGACCUGGGGCAGGCGUUGAGGAGAACAGCCCUGAGGUGGGUCAUCACCGCUGCAGCGGCCCAGGAGCGCUGAAUUCCAGCUUGCGAGGCUGUCCUGUAAGGUGCCCAGCUCACCUGCUCAGUUCCCUGGAGAAAUACUGAGGCCACAGGAAAAUGGGUCCUGAAGACUGAGAGUCCCAGGAAGAGGCAACACUGAGACCAAGACAGAAAUAACUGCACCGAGAGAGACAGGGGCAGAAAAAGGGAGAGGAAGAGGAUGAGGGAGAGAAGGAGAGAAGGGUCCUUGAGGAAUCGCCACACUGUCUUCCACAAUGGUUGCACUAAUUUGCACUCCCACCAACAGUGUAAAGGUGUUCCUAUUUCUCCGGAUCCUCUCCAGCAUCUGUUGUUUCCUGAUUUCUUAAUGCUCACUCAUCUGACUGGCGUGAGAUGAUAUCUCACUGUGGUUUUCAUUUGCAUCUCUCUGAUGACCAGUGAUGAUGAAUGUUUUUUUCAUAUGUUUGUUGACCUCAUAAAUGUCUUCUGUUGAGAAGUGUCUGUUCAGGCUGAUUGUUAACUUGGCAUCAAACUGAAAGUUUUCUUAAAUUUGCUAUUUGAAAGCUUCAAUAAUUAUAAUAAAGAUAACUUGCUUUUGUGUAGUGUUUAA